rnacentral:rRNA from 1 species
GCGCAGCUGAUGCAGCGACGCCGCGUGAGGGAUGGAGGCCUUCGGGUUGUAAACCUCUUUUAUCGGGGAGCAAGCGAGAGUGAGUUUACCCGUUGAAUAAGCACCGGCUAACUACGUGCCAGCAGCCGCGGUAAUACGUAGGGUGCAAGCGUUAUCCGGAAUUAUUGGGCGUAAAGGGCUCGUAGGCGGUUCGUCGCGUCCGGUGUGAAAGUCCAUCGCUUAACGGUGGAUCCGCGCCGGGUACGGGCGGGCUUGAGUGCGGUAGGGGAGACUGGAAUUCCCGGUGUAACGGUGGAAUGUGUAGAUAUCGGGAAGAACACCAAUGGCGAAGGCAGGUCUCUGGGCCGUUACUGACGCUGAGGAGCGAAAGCGUGGGGAGCGAACAGGAUUAGAUACC